GGGGAUUUAGCUCAGUGGUAGAGCGCCUGCCUAGCAAGCACAAGGCCCUGGGUUCAGUCCCCAGCUCCG
rfam:Rattus norvegicus chromosome 2, whole genome shotgun sequence.